AGGUCCCUCUCUCUCCCCCAGCGACCAGGCCGAAGCUGACGUCGCCUGCCAGGUCCAGGCUUCAGUAUGCCAGCGGGGCUUCGCAGCAGGCACAGCCUUCCAGCCUUCCCAAACCUGCUCCCCGGGACAGAGAGAUGAGAAGUAAUUCCGCUCCUGCCAGUUGCCUCACGCGAAGCACGGAAGCGCCUGCUGUCAAGGUUGGGAGUCGUAAACAGCUCUCCUCAAGGCUCUCUACAGCAAUUCCUAUGGCUUCCCGCUCCUCACUGCGGCUUCCGGGAAAAGUGGUUUCGUCCAAGCGUUUUUGCCUUAAUAAAGGAUCAACUACACAGGAGUUGGUGUGCAAUAGGACCCAAGAGCUGAAGGAAAAUGGUGAGAGCAAAGAAAAGCAGGUUGCAGCAAGGAUUGUCUUGGGUGCAGGUGAGCAAUAUGGAGUUGUAGAUUCUUGCCUUGUGUUGGGAAACGUGGGAAGCUGCUUGUUGGGCAACGCUGCUCCCUCCCCUGAUGGGCUCUGGCUGACCAGGUGUGCUGUGGAUGCUCCAUCCUGUGCUGCAGGCAGGGGGUGCUGCCUUCACAGAAACUGCAGCUGGGCAGCCUGCAGUCCUGAGCCCUGCACAGAGGGAGGGGAAGUGAAGAGACUCUCCUCUACUGGGACAGCCCUGUUCCACCUUGCCCGGGCAGCUGCCUGCCCUCACUGGGAGAGUAGAUUCCUAGCAGGAGCCCAGAGCUGCUGGGAGCAAGGCCAUGCAGGGGCACUUUCUCCCAGCAGCACCCAUACAGGCCAAGCCAGCAGCAGCUGUUGGGCUGGAAGUGCUGGGAAACUUCUGACUCUCUUGGACAAGUUCUGUCCUUCCCUGAUCUGGAGCAGCCCUGUGGCCAGGUUGAAGAGUGGCCAA